UUGCAAACUGCUCAAAUGGCAAACUGCUCAAAUGGCAAACUGCUCAAAUGGCAAACUGCUCAAAUGGCAAACUGCUCAAAUGGCAAACUGCUCAAAUGGCAAACUGCUCAAAUGGCAAACUGCUCAAAUGGCAAACUGCUAUAGUUUCUCGAAUCAAUGAAUUUAUAAGUGAAUAAUUAAAUGCAAUGCUGUCAAUCUAUUAAUAAUUUUUCUUAAUCAAAUUCACAGAGUAUGUACAGGCAAAGUCACAAAACAACAUUAUGCACUGAAAUGCUUGGUGGAUAGACCAAAAGCCAGGACAGAAGUGGAACUGCAUUACAGAUGUAAUCACCCAAAUAUUGUUCAAGUUAUAGAUGUGUAUGCAAAUGAAAUAGUUUUACCUGGAGAAAUGGUAUCCAAAUCAUAUUUGCUAAUGGUCAUGGAGUAUAUGGAGGGAGGUGAACUGUUCGAGCGAAUACGGAAGAAGGUCAGUUUCACAGAAAAGGAAGCAUGUGAGAUAACUAAGCAAGUGAGUAUGCCUUUUCAUUUUUGUCUUUACAUUUCAUCAACCAGUGAUAUUUGAAUGAUCAUAUGAUAUUCAGCAUUGUUGCAAAAACUCAUCCAAAGUAUUAUUUAUAAAGCAUGAUAGCAAAGAGCUUAGUUUUGGAAAUACAUAUUACAUUAUUUGAUGAAUUGUCAAACCCUGAAUACCUGGCCUCAUUUUCCAGCUUUGGCACAACCCCUAACCCAAUGGUCUUGAAAACAAAGUUGUAUUAUGAGACAGUUUUUUCAAUUCCUACAUUCAAACUAAGAGUUUUUUCUAAUUCAUUUAUUAAUUUUUUUUCAAGGCGGUUUUAUUUCUUUUAGAUGUUUUACUGGAAUGAUAUUUUCUUCAAUUCCAGGAAUUUUAUAGUGAAAUAUUUUGUUCAGUUUUUUAAUGCCAGGAUUGAAUUAUCUUGAAUUCAUUCUCUGCCAAAUGGAAAAUUUAAGCAAACAUGCAGAUGAAGUGCAGUAAAGUCAGGCCUGGCUGUUGAAGGGGCCAUCACCCAUCUGCAUUUCUGGACCCUUCAAGAUUUCUUGAGAACAGAAUUUUUUUCGUCGGUUCUGUUAACAUUCAUAGAGAAGUGUCCAUGUUAAAAUCAAACUUGACUAGAGUUUCCAAAAGUCACUUAUCCACUCUUCUUCCUCAUGUAUAUAGGAUAACAGCAUUUUGUAAAAUCUAUAAUGGAAGCUGCUCUGUGAUUGUUUCUGAAAUCAAAGUUUCAAGUUUCAUCUUUUCUUGGGU